UCUUCAACUCACUUUAAUUAGAGAAUCCUUUGUGCAUAGUUCUUUUCUUGCUUGGAGAUAAGUAAUAUCUUAAGUUUAGUGUUGUGAUGCAUGAGCAUAUUUAGUUGUUUUCUUUAUUAUUUCCUUGAAUAAAGUUAGUGAUUUCCUUAUUUUAAUUGAGAUUUUUUUUUUUUUAUGCUUUAAUC